rnacentral:rRNA from 1 species
AUUGAACGCUGGCGGCAGGCCUAACACAUGCAAGUCGAGCGGAUGACGGGAGCUUGCUCCUUGAUUCAGCGGCGGACGGGUGAGUAAUGCCUAGGAAUCUGCCUGGUAGUGGGGGACAACGUUUCGAAAGGAACGCUAAUACCGCAUACGUCCUACGGGAGAAAGCAGGGGACCUUCGGGCCUUGCGCUAUCAGAUGAGCCUAGGUCGGAUUAGCUUGUUGGUGAGGUAAUGGCUCACCAAGGCGACGAUCCGUAACUGGUCUGAGAGGAUGAUCAAUCGCACUGUAGCUGAGACACGGUCCAGACUCCUACGGGAGGCAGCAGUGGGGAAUAUUGGACAAUGGGCGAAAGCCUGAUCCAGCCAUGCCACGUGUGUGAAGAAGGUCUUCGGAUUGUAAAGCACUUUAAGUUGGGAGGAAGGGUUGUAGAUUAAUACUCUGCAAUUUUGACGUUACCGACAGAAUAAGCACCGGCUAACUCUGUGCCAGCCGCCGCAGUAAAAC